rnacentral:rRNA from 1 species
GAUGAACGCUGGCGGCGUGCCUAAUACAUGCAAGUCGAGCGAACGGACGAGAAGCUUGCUUCUCUGAUGUUAGCGGCGGACGGGUGAGUAACACGUGGAUAACCUACCUAUAAGACUGGGAUAACUUCGGGAAACCGGAGCUAAUACCGGAUGAUAUUUUGAACCGCAUGGUUCAAAAGUGAAAGACGGUUUUGCUGUCACUUAUAGAUGGUUCCGCGCUGCAUUAGCUAGUUGGUAAGUUAACGGCUUACCAAGGCAACGAUGCAUAGCCGACCUGAGAGGGUGAUCGGCCACACUGGAACUGAGACACGGUCCAGACUCCUACGGGAGGCAGCAGUAGGGAAUCUUCCGCAAUGGGCGAAAGCCUGACGGAGCAACGCCGCGUGAGUGAUGAAGGUCUUCGGAUCGUAAAACUCUGUUAUUAGGGAAGAACAUAUGUGUAAGUAAAUGUGCACAUCUUGACGGUACCUAAUCAGAAAGCCACGGCUAACUACGUG